rnacentral:rRNA from 2 species
UAAGUCAGCCACGAAUAGGCUAUCCCAACUAACGGCGGGAAAGACUCCACGGAGGGUGUAAGACCCGUGUGGGCGCGUGUUAAAGCUGUGCGGGCUCGGCCUCUAUUCCCUGAGAGUCGCGUUGCUUGAGCAUGCAGCGCUAAGCAGGUCGUAAACUCGAUCUAAGGCUAAAUAUGUCCACAGAACCGAUAGCGAACAAGUACCGUGAGGGAAAGUUGAAAAGCACUCUGGAGAGAGAGUCAAAAGACCGUGAAACCGCUCAGAGUAUAAGCCCAUGGCAGCUUGGAAGGCAUAUCGCUAGCGGGGCAUCGGUCUCCCUUCGCGGGGAGCUGGUGUUACCUUGCUUCUGUUGUGGCUCGUCAUGGUAGGGGGGUCAAGUCCACAUCCCGCCGUCGUGUGGGGGGUUCUUGGGUGUGUUGUGGUUUCUCGGUUGGCUUCGGCUGGCCGGGGGGCCCUUCGUGCUUGGUUCCUCUUUGGACACGGACGUUCAGACUCAGAGGUAAGAUGCGAUAAACAGCCCACCACGGCACGUUGUGAGGUCACCCACAGGCUCGACUUUCGAUCGUGAGCCUUGACGCCGAGCAAGCACAAUGCGUGUCGCAAAGGUUCCUAACCAGGCAACGCUGCCAGGACCGUGGAACGACACGCGCUCAACAGUCAGGUUCGGGCGGAGACAGAGUUCUGGUACGAUCCUCUUGCGACGAGCCGGCUUCUGGCCAACAUCCGAUGCUCAGGUCUCCCGCAUGUGCCGCGGGAGAUCGCCUUGACGGUCUGGA